UGCUGAAGCGAAGCGUCAUCUUCGAAGGACUCAUUAACCAUUUUUCUCCACUCACACGAUCUAUCCUUUGAAUACAUUCCCCUUUACUUCCUAUCUCAGAAUCUUCGACUGUAAAAAGAUUGUAUCUGAGGGGAAAAGGAGUGUCUGAGAGCGCUAGAUAGUGAGAGAGGCGACAAAGAACGGUGGUGGCGAUGUCGGAGCUUCGUCUCCUUUGGAUUGGAGACUCUCAGGUAUUUGGUGAUGCCGAAGUAGAUUCUGCAAGGACUGCGGCUGAGAAUGAUGCAAGCAAGAACAACGAUUAAUUGAUCCUACAUAUUGGUCCAUGUCAUAUGCCGAGAAGGCAUAUGUAUCAACAAUUUUGGAAAAUGGCAGGACACCUGAAAAAUCUUUGAAAGUUUCCAACAUGAUCAUUGUUGCCAAGCCAGAUGCAUUAUAAAGCUCUUGAACUUUUCAACGAAGAUAGAUGAAGUAUGAGCCCACAGGGACAACUCUGUCUAGGAGUGAACCGGAGGUUCCAUUUCAUUCAAGGAGCCUAGGUUCGUACGCGACAUCGGACAUUAAACGCGUCUUAUUCGUUUCUGAUGCAGCAGGUGCCUUCAAUGGUGAUGAAGCAGAGGAUGUAGAGCAUAGAAUGAUGAUUUCUUCUAUGAUUCCAAAAGUGACCACGUCCAUUCUGUAAUAAUGAUUUUUUUUUCUUUUGUAAUUUUGAUCCUGUGUUUCCAUAUCGAAUAUGAAGUUCUUCUACGAGUUUUAGUGAUUUGAGG